ACCUCACUGGCUCAGUUGCUAGAGCAUGUAGACUCUUGAUCUCAGGGUUGUGAGUUCAAGCCCCAUGUUGGGUG
rnacentral:tRNA from 1 species